GACAGAGGAUGCAAGCGUUAUCCGGAAUGAUUGGGCGUAAAGCGUCUGUAGGUGGUUUAUUAAGUCUACUGUUAAAGAUCAGGGCUUAACCCUGAGCAGGCAAUAGAAACUAAUAAGCUAGAGUACGGUAGGGGCAGAGGGAAUUCCCGGUGUAGCGGUGAAAUGCGCAGAUAUCAGGAAGAACACCCGUGGCGAAGGCGGCUCUCUGGGACGGUACUGACGCUGAGACGCGAAAGCGUGGGGAGCGAACAGG
rnacentral:rRNA from 1 species